AUUGAACGCUGGCGGCAUGCCUUACACAUGCAAGUCGAACGGCAGCACGGGUGCUUGCCCCUGGUGGCGAGUGGCGAACGGGUGAGUAAUACAUCGGAACAUGUCCUGUAGUGGGGGAUAGCCCGGCGAAAGCCGGAUUAAUACCGCAUACGAUCUACGGAUGAAAGCGGGGGACCUUCGGGCCUCGCGCUGUAGGGUUGGCCGAUGGCUGAUUAGCUAGUUGGUGGGGUAAAGGCCUACCAAGGCGACGAUCAGUAGCUGGUCUGAGAGGACGACCAGCCACACUGGGACUGAGACACGGCCCAGACUCCUACGGGAGGCAGCAGUGGGGAAUUUUGGACAAUGGGCGAAAGCCUGAUCCAGCAAUGCCGCGUGUGUGAAGAAGGCCUUCGGGUUGUAAAGCACUUUUGUCCGGAAAGAAAUCCUUGGCCCUAAUACGGUCGGGGGAUGACGGUACCGGAAGAAUAAGCACCGGCUAACUACGUG
rnacentral:rRNA from 1 species